UCUAACAUAGGCCAUGGAUGACGGUACCGGACUAAGAAGCACCGGCUAACUACGUGCCAGCAGCCGCGGUAAUACGUAGGGUGCGAGCGUUAAUCGGAAUUACUGGGCGUAAAGCGUGCGCAGGCGGUUUUGUAAGACAGAUGUGAAAUCCCCGGGCUUAACCUGGGAACUGCGUUUGUGACUGCAAGGCUAGAGUACGGCAGAGGGGGGGUGGAAUUCCUGGUGUAGCAGUGAAAUGCGUAGAGAUCAGGAGGAACACCGAUGGCGAAGGCAGCCCCCCUGGGCCUGUACUGACGCUCAUGCACGAAAGCGUGGGGAGCAAACAGGAUUAGAUACCCUGGUAGUCCACGCCCUAAACGAUGUCGACUAGUCGUUCGGAGCAGCAAUGCACUGAGUGACGCAGCUAACGCGUGAAGUCGACCGCCUGGGGAGUACGGCCGC
rnacentral:rRNA from 1 species